rnacentral:tRNA from 1 species
GGAGAGGUGGCCGAGCUGGCCGAAGGCGCACGCCUGCUAAGCGUGUGAGGGUCUUAAAAACCCUCCGAGGGUUCGAAUCCCUCCCUCUCCGCCA